rnacentral:tRNA from 3 species
GCCUUCGUAGCUCAGCUGGAUAGAGCAGCCGCCUCCUAAGCGGCAGGUCGAACGUUCGAAUCGUUUCGAGGGCACCA